CAGCAGCCACGGGAAUACGUAGGGUGAGAGCGUUAAUCGGAAUUACUGGGCGUAAAGCGUGCGCAGGCGGUUGUGUAAGACAGGUGUGGAAUCCCCGGGCUUAACCUGGGAACUGCGCUUGUGACUGCACAGCUAGAGUAUGGCAGAGGGGGGUGGAAUUCCACGUGUAGCAGUGAAAUACGUAGAGAUGUGGAGGAACACCGAUGGCGUAGGCAGCCCCCUGGGCCAAUACUGACGCUCAUGCACGAAAGCGUGGGGAGCAAACAGGAUUAGAUACCCCCGUAGUCCCUGUCUCUUAUAC
rnacentral:rRNA from 1 species